rnacentral:lncRNA from 1 species
UAAAUAUUUAAUAAGAAAUUUACAGAGUUAAAUCAUAGAUGAAUUAGAUUUUGGACACCCAAUUUAUUCAAAAUUGUGGUUAAUUAGGGCUCAAGAACUAAAUUAUAAAGUCCAAUUGCUAUAGAUUUUUAAUUAGCAAAUGGCUUGGGGAAUUCAAUUGAAAUUUACCAAAGGUUCUGAUAAUACUCUAAAAUGACAUACUCCAA